GAUGAACGCUGGCGGCGUGCUUAACACAUGCAAGUCGAACGAAGCACCUCUCCCGAAGAUUGACACAGCUUGCUGUAGAUUGAUUCAUUUGAGGUGACUGAGUGGCGGACGGGUGAGUAACGCGUGGGUAACCUGCCUCAUAGAGGGGGACAACAGUUGGAAACGACUGCUAAUACCGCAUAGUAAGAAGAAUUCGCAUGUUUUCUUCUUGAAAGAUUUAUCGCUAUGAGAUGGACCCGCGUCUGAUUAGCUAGUUGGUAAGGUAACGGCUUACCAAGGCGACGAUCAGUAGCCGGCAUGAGAGAGUGAACGGCCACAUUGGGACUGAGACACGGCCCAAACUCCUACGGGAGGCAGCAGUGGGGAAUAUUGCACAAUGGGGGAAACCCUGAUGCAGCGACGCCGCGUGAGUGAAGAAGUAUUUCGGUAUGUAAAGCUCUAUCAGCAGGGAAGAUAAUGACGGUACCUGACGAAGAAGCCCCGGCUAACUACGUG
rnacentral:rRNA from 1 species